rnacentral:rRNA from 1 species
AUAAAUUAUUUUCUUACUUUAUUUAUUAAUAAUUAUUUUUAGAAAUAUCUUUAUUUUUAGUAUAUUAAAGAAAAAAAYAUGUUGUUAUAGUAAAAUUGUACUGUGAAGGAUUGAUGAAAUAUUUAAAAAUUUUAAUUUUUGUAAAGUAUGUUUAAAUUGCAGUACCUUUUGUAUCAGGGUUGAUUUAAUAUUAAAAUUUAUUUUUCUAUCUCGAUUUUAAAAGAGCUAAUUAAUUAUUUUAGUUGAUGUUGCAUAAUUAUUAAGAAUAWUAAUUAGGAGAGAAAUUUUAUUCGCUUUUAAAGGUAUCUAGUUUUUUAAGAAUUAAAUUUAAUUUAUUUUCAUUAUGUAACUUUUUUAUUAUUUUAUUAGUUAUUUAUUGAAUAAAAAUUUAUAGGGGAUAAGCUCUAUAUAGAUCUAUAAAAUUCUUUAAUAAUUAAUUAAUGUAGGCUUAUAAAUAGUCAUCUUUAAAGAGUAUGUUAUAAUUUAUUUAUUUCAUUGUUUAAUUUAGGAUUUUUUAGUAACUUAUUAAAAUAUCAUAAUAAAUUAUUAAUUUAGAGUAAUAAUGAUUGAAUUAGUAUAAGAAUUUGUUUAUAUGAAUAUUAUUUUCAUGAUAAAAUAAGGAACUCGGCAAAUAUAGUUCUCGCCUGUUUAACAAAAACAUGUCCUUUUGAGUUUAAUAUAAGGUCUGACCUGCCCAGUGAUUAAUUUAACGGCCGCGGUAUAUUGACCGUGCAAAGGUAGCAUAAUCAUUAGUCUUUUAAUAGAGGGCUGGAAUGAAAGGUUUAACGAGGAACUGACUGUCUCAUUUUAUUUGUAUUAAAAUUUAAUUUUUUAGUCAAAAAGCUAAAAUAYAAUUGGAAGACGAGAAGACCCUAUAGAUCUUUAUAUAUUUUUUAUUAAUAGUUAUUAUAUUAAUAAUUUUAAUAAAAAAUAUAUUUUGUUGGGGUGACAAAAAUAUAUAAUUAACUUUUUUAUAAUUUAUACAUUGAUUUAUGAAUAUUAGAUCCAUUAUUAUUGAUUAUUAGAUUAAGUUACCUUAGGGAUAACAGCGUAAUCCUUCUCCAGAGUUCAUAUUUACAGAAGGGCUUGCGACCUCGAUGUUGGAUUAAGAUAAUAAUUAGGUGUAGCCGCUUAAUAUAUAGGUCUGUUCGACCUUUAAACU